GAUGAACGCUAGCGGGAGGCCUAACACAUGCAAGCCGAGCGGUAUUGUUUCUUCGGAAAUGAGAGAGCGGCGUACGGGUGCGGAACACGUGUGCAACCUUCCUUUAUCUAGAGGAUAGCCGUUCGAAAGGAAGAUUAAUACUCUAUACUAUAUUAAUUGGCGUCAAUGGAUAUUGAAAACUCCGGAGGAUAGAGAUGGGCCCGCGCAAGAUUAGGUAGUGGGUGAGGUAACGGCUCACCAAGGCAAUGAUCUGUAGGGGUCCUGAGAGGGUGAUCCCCCACACGGGUACUGAGACACGGACCAGACUCCUACGGGAGGCAGCAGUGAGGAAUAUUGGUCAAUGGGUGCAAGCCUGAACCAGCCAUCCCGCGUGAAGGAUUAAGGUCCUAUGGAUUGUAAACUUCUUUUGUAUAGGGAUAAACCUACCCUCGUGGGGGUAGCUGAAGGUACUAUACGAAUAAGCACCGGCUAACUCCGUGCCAGCAGCCGCCGUAACAC
rnacentral:rRNA from 1 species